GGCGUGCCUAAUACAUGCAAGUCGAGCGGACCGACGGGAGCUUGCUCCCUUAGGUCAGCGGCGGACGGGUGAGUAACACGUGGGUAACCUGCCUGUAAGACUGGGAUAACUCCGGGAAACCGGGGCUAAUACCGGAUGCUUGAUUGAACCGCAUGGUUCAAUCAUAAAAGGUGGCUUUUAGCUACCACUUACAGAUGGACCCGCGGCGCAUUAGCUAGUUGGUGAGGUAACGGCUCACCAAGGCGACGAUGCGUAGCCGACCUGAGAGGGUGAUCGGCCACACUGGGACUGAGACACGGCCCAGACUCCUACGGGAGGCAGCAGUAGGGAAUCUUCCGCAAUGGACGAAAGUCUGACGGAGCAACGCCGCGUGAGUGAUGAAGGUUUUCGGAUCGUAAAACUCUGUUGUUAGGGAAGAACAAGUACCGUUCGAAUAGGGCGGCACCUUGACGGUACCUAACCAGAAAGCCACGGCUAACUACGUGCCAGCAGCCGCGGUAAUACGUAGGUGGCAAGCGUUGUCCGGAAUUAUUGGGCGUAAAGCGCGCGCAGGCGGUUUCUUAAGUCUGAUGUGAAAGCCCCCGGCUCAACCGGGGAGGGUCAUUGGAAACUGGGGAACUUGAGUGCAGAAGAGGAGAGUGGAAUUCCACGUGUAGCGGUGAAAUGCGUAGAGAUGUGGAGGAACACCAGUGGCGAAGGCGACUCUCUGGUCUGUAACUGACGCUGAGGCGCGAAAGCGUGGGGAGCGAACAGGAUUAGAUACCCUGGUAGUCCACGCCGUAAACGAUGAGUGCUAAGUGUUAGAGGGUUUCCGCCCUUUAGUGCUGCAGCAAACGCAUUAAGCA
rnacentral:rRNA from 2 species